UCUUGCCUAGUAUAUCGGUUCAGUACACCCGCCUGUCAUUUGCUCUAGGCAUGGUAAUAUGUACGCGGGAGAGCAGGGUUCGACUCCCUGGGCGAGAG